rnacentral:rRNA from 1 species
GAUGAACGCUGGCGGCGUGCCUAAUACAUGCAAGUCGAGCGAACAGACGAGGAGCUUGCUCCUCUGACGUUAGCGGCGGACGGGUGAGUAACACGUGGAUAACCUACCUAUAAGACUGGGAUAACUUCGGGAAACCGGAGCUAAUACCGGAUAAUAUAUUGAACCGCAUGGUUCAAUAGUGAAAGACGGUUUUGCUGUCACUUAUAGAUGGAUCCGCGCCGCAUUAGCUAGUUGGUAAGGUAACGGCUUACCAAGGCAACGAUGCGUAGCCGACCUGAGAGGGUGAUCGGCCACACGGGAACUGAGACACGGUCCAGACUCCUACGGGAGGCAGCAGUAGGGAAUCUUCCGCAUUGGGCGAAAGCCUGACGGAGCAACGCCGCGUGAGUGAUGAAGGUCUUCGGAUCGUAAAACUCUGUUAUUAGGGAAGAACAAAUGUGUAAGUAACUAUGCACGUCUUGACGGUACCUAAUCAGAAAGCCACGGCUAACUACGUG